AAUAUUGGUCAAUGGAGGGAACUCUGAACCAGCCAUGCCGCGUGCAGGACGAAGGCCCUACGGGUCGUAAACUGCUUUUGCCGGGGAACAACCGUCCCGACGUGUCGGCGCCUGAGUGUACCCGGACAAUAAGGAUCGGCUAACUCCGUGCCAGCAGCCGCGGUAAUACGGAGGAUCCGAGCGUUAUCCGGAUUUUCUGGGUUUAAAGGGUGCGUAGGCGGCUUUCUAAGUCAGGGGUGAAAUACAGCGGCUCAACCGUUGCAGUGCCUUUGAUACUGGGGGGCUUGAAUGUGGUCGAAGGCGGCGGAAUGGGACAAGUAGCGGUGAAAUGCAUAGAUAUGUCCCAGAACCCCGAUAGCGAAGGCAGCUGCCUAGGCCAUAAUUGACGCUGAUGCACGAAAGCGUGGGGAUCGAACAGG
rnacentral:rRNA from 1 species